UUACGUUAAGGGCAAACUAACCGAAAGGUUAGGACGCAAAGCUACGGGUCUAAAGUCAUAACGACCAUGAUCGCCGGGCUGCCGGA
rnacentral:ncRNA from 1 species